rnacentral:SRP_RNA from 1 species
GCCGGGUGUGGUGACACACACCUGUAAUCUCAGGACUUGGGAGGCUGAGUUGGGAGGAUUGCUUGAACCCAGGAGGCGGAGGUUCAGUGAGCCGAGGUUGGGCCACUGCACUUCAGCCUGGGUGACAAAGUGAGAUUCUGUCUCAA